CCUACGGGAGGCAGCAGUGAGGAAUAUUGGUCAAUGGACGAGAGUCUGAACCAGCCAAGUAGCGUGAAGGAUGACUGCCCUAUGGGUUGUAAACUUCGUUUAUAUGGGAAUAAAAUGUUCCACGUGUGGGAUUUUGUAUGUAUCAUAUGAAUAAGGAUCGGCUAACUCCGUGCCGGCAGCCGCGGUAAUACGGAGGAUCCGAGCGUUAUCCGGAUUUAUUGGGUUUAAAGGGAGCGUAGGUGGAAUGUUAAGUCAGUUGUGAAAGUUUGCGGCUCAACCGUAAAAUUGCAGUUGAAACUGGCAGUCUGGAGUACAGUAGAGGUGGGCGGAAUUCGUGGUGUAGCGGUGAAAUGCUUAGAUAUUACGAAGAACUCCGAUGGCGAAGGCAGUUCACUGGACUGCAACUGACACUGAGGCUCGAAAGUGUGGGUAUCAAACAGGAUUAGAUACCCCGGUAGUC
rnacentral:rRNA from 1 species